GCAGAGUAUGCCCAUGGUAGUUGGUAGAGCAUGAGACUCUUAAUCUCAGGGUUGUGGGUUUGAGCCCCAUGCUGGACA